rnacentral:rRNA from 1 species
AACGAACGCUGGCGGCAUGCCUAACACAUGCAAGUCGAACGAGACCUUCGGGUCUAGUGGCGCACGGGUGCGUAACGCGUGGGAACCUUCCCUUAGGUUCGGAAUAACUCCCCGACAGGGGUGCUAAUACCGGAUAAUGUCUUCGGACCAAGCAUUUAUCGCCUUUGGAUGGGCCCGCGUUGGAUUAGCUAGUUGGUAGGGUAAAAGCCUACUAAGGCGACGAUCCAUAGCUGGUCUGAGAGGAUGAUCAGCGACACUGGGACUGAGACACGGCCCAGACUCCUACGGGAGGCAGCAGUGGGGAAUAUUGGAAAAUGGGCGAAAGCCUGAUCCAGCAAUGCCGGGUGAGUGAUGAAGGUAGUAGGGUUGUAAAGUUCUUUUACCCGGGAUGAUAAUGACAGUACCGGGAGAAUAAGCUCCGGCUAACUCCGUG